GCCUGUUUCUGUGUUUGUAUAGCUCUGUCCGUAAUGGUGUUCUCUCUCUGCUGGGACUGCUCAGUGCUGCCGUUAGUAAAAUCGAGUGGCUUUCUUGCACAAACUAGGAAAAAUGGUAGCACUAAGCAAUGGAAAGAACUUUUUUAGUUACUUAAAUUUUAGUUUUACCUCUGAGUCACAGGCUAGAGCUCUUCAACAUACGAGGUUUAUUGUGGACUUAGAGAUCUGUCCUGAUAAAUAGGUCGGACGCUUUUUUUAUAGAGUUCUCCACUGGGUCCACUCCAUCAUAAUGAAGCUUCAGCACAGGCCUCCACGGAGCUCCGAGAGAGAAGUCGGGGAAGGAGAAAGUGAGGGGAGAUCGGAAAAAGCACUUGAAGUCGGUGGCUGAAAAGAAAGUAAAUGAUCAUAAAAUUGUCUUCUGAGAAGAUUAGCAGCCCAGGGAAGCAGCACCGUACCAGCUGGGAGGAGAAUGUCCAUCAUUUCCAGAUGUGGACAUAUGAUCCAGGAGGCAAUUGAAGACUGCUUCCUGCUGCCGUGAUUGACCCUGCUGCUAAUAUACCCAAACUGUGGAGCUUGAUGUUAAUCCAAAGGAGCUGAACGUCUGAACUGAUUGCCUGCUGACAGCCAGUGUAAAACUCAAAAGCAUGACUGCAGAUAUUGAGAUUAGAUAUCGGAAGAGGAAGAAGAAGAAAAAAAAAAAAGGAUGCAACUGUUUCUUUUCUGCAGAAGCAUCAGGAAACAAUCCCUAUUAUCCCACUCCUUAAGUGCAAUUUCUGGUUUCCAAAACUUUGCAAUGUUACAAAUCUUUUAUUGAUCCUAUAAGAAUGAAAGCAGAUACAACAAAGAAGCUGUAAAGCACAUAGAUAAAAGAGGAAUAAAAGGGACAAGGCACUUACUGUUGUUUGUUAUAGUCUUAAAUGGAAUUAAGUUUAAAAAAAAAAGGAAAAAGGAAAAAAUACAAGCACCGUAAACAGCAGGGAGGAGGUGCAAAAUCCAGAUCCGGCUGUAAUUGUCCGUACGUACGCUGAUUCAUAUUGCUGCACUCAUACAGGAAGAUGCUCCGUGGGACAGUUCUGAAGAUCCUCAUUUUUGUUUUACUUUAUGUGAAUUUGCUGGAGAAAGGACUGAGGGUUAAAUUUAUAUUCAGUGCAGUAUUACUGUUCAUCUGUGGCUCUGCUGGAAGAGUUAAGGGAGUUGUAGUCUACCCCACCCAACAGCAAGACACACACACACACACACACAGACACACACACACACACACACACACACACACACACACACACACACACACUCACUCACUCUCUCCAAUGUUAACGGAUGACUCUUCUGGCCAUGCCAUGUUAUAAAGGUUGAUAAGGGGGCACAAACCUUACUGCUCCUGUUCGGAUGUGUUCUCCCCAUUCUGAUUAAUAGUCCUUAGAUAAAGAAUAUCUGAUUAUAACUGACAGACAUCUUAUGUCACCUGUCUGGUCAUUGGCUGCUCUUCAAGAUGAAUGCUCAUAAGUCAUAUUCAAAUGCUGUUUUGAGCCAAAUGGAAGCACUUUGGUCAAACCCCUAUGAAAAAAUCCUGUCUUAAUCAGUCUGUAGAAGGCCUGAUUCUGCUCAAACCUGAUUCUCGACCCAGGGAACUAACCUUCUUGUACAUU